GUUGAACGCUGGCGGCAGGCUUAACACAUGCAAGUCGAGCGAGCCGCGGACGGGAGAGUAAUGUACGGGAAACUGCCUGAUGGAGGGGGACAACUACUGGUAACGGUAGCUAAUAACGCAUACCAUCAGAUGUGCCCAGAUGGGAUUAGCUAGUGGGUGGGGUAAUGGCACACCGAGGCGACGAUCCCUAGCUGGUUUGAGAGGAUGACCAGCCACACUGGAACUGAGACACGGCCCAGACUCCUACGGGAGGCAGCAGUGGGGAAUUUUGGACAAUGGGCGAAAGCCUGAUGCAGCCAUGCCGCGUGUGUGAAGAAGGCCUUCGGGUUGUAAAGCACUUUUGGCAGGAAAGCGGUACUCGCAGAAGAAGCACCGGCUAACUACGUGCCAGCAGCCGCGGUAAUUC
rnacentral:rRNA from 1 species